rnacentral:tRNA from 1 species
GGGGACGUGGCGGAAUUGGUAGACGCACUGGAUUUAGGUUCCAGCGCCGCAAGGUGUGAGAGUUCGAGUCUCUCCGUCCCCA